rnacentral:lncRNA from 1 species
CGGAGAAGUGGUGGAACGUGCGGAACCACAUAUUGGAUCACUCCAGUGCGGCACGAAGCCGCUGAUGCCGAGUCGGCUCCUAUGCCGCUAGCUAUGCCCUGCUUGGUCCCCCGGCACGGUGGAGGUUCCGUAGCGCGUCAUGAGCACCGGGCUAAGGGGCGGUUGAGCAACUCAAGCGAACCGCCCUACCUUACUACAACAUAAGGACAGAAGGGAGAAGGUUGUGAAGGUGGCCUCGUUAUCCACACCUCCGGUCGGAUGAAUGGAGGACCGACCGACCCGGGUUUUCACGAGCGUUGGCGGGUUCUGGAGUGCCUGUCAAGGGCGCUAGCGCAUACCCCGGGGUGAUCAUCACCACCUGCACCUCAAAUCUCGGCACAGUGGAACGUGUAACCCGCCUGCUAUUCCAUUCAACUACAUUUGUUCCUGUAAUCCAUAGCCUAACAGAACGCAGCAGCGAGGGACAACCCGCCCAUACAGCCAGCGGGGAGGAUGGCACUACUGGCAAAGACCGUCUGGCGAAAACGCCGCAGGUGCGAAGCGUGGUAGGCCUGCGCCGGGGGAGCAUAGGGAGGAAAGGGAGCCCGGACGGUGGAAGAGCCAGGGGAGGCCGGGUCAUUUGACGGAAAUGGAAGGCUUUGGACUAUGAACCUAUUAAAGAAGGCCCUAUGGAGUAAAAGGAAGUGCAUGAAUUCUUGGAAAAAGAGGGAGCGAGCCUAUAUAAAAAUGGAAUCAAGCAAAUUCAAUGAAUAGAUAGAGUCAACGGUACGACAGACAGCGCUGCCUACACGCGAAUUUGCUUCCGAAGUCGAGCAGUCUCAAUUUCACUACAGGAUUUUAGAAUGAAUGCUGGGCUGGGCCACCUCGAAUGGCGUGAGCCGCAUGCGGGGAGACCCGCACGUACGGUUUUUAGGGGGAUCUGGUCGAAAGACCGGCCGGCGCCCACCCGACUAGAGGGACCGAGAAAUUAAUAGAGUACAAAACUUAUCUUCAAGCUUUACCUUAUUCUGAUCGUUCAGAGGGCGAUCGCGGGGUCACUGAAUGAAGUCCUCCGUUUCUUUCGGAGGUGCUGACCCGCAGCGAGGCAGAGAUGACUAAGUGACAUAUGGAAUAUGGCGACGACAACAGCAUGUCGUAGAAGGAGAUAACAAGUGGAGCCAACGACCCACUAAGACUAACGUAUCUACAACUACAUCCCCGAGCGGCAGUCAAACGGGGGCGUGAAUGCGAGAUGCCAGCGGAAUGAUCGGCCGGACAGAGGCUAGGGCUCCUUCCUUCCCACCGCGUCCUUCCUUGUGUGUCGGAGAUAUAAAGCGAGUGCACCGGAAAAGAACGGGAACUGGGUCGAUCUAUUCUAUGUCGAAGCAUCCGAAGCAUAACUGCACACUCACACGAUCUUUGCCGACAGAUAGGAGCAUUCGGUGGAACCGGUGAACUACACUUGCUUCUGGAUAGAUGUGUGGGACAGAGGGCUCGUGGUACCUGCUGCCCACCCUUCCUCCUCUGCUUUGAGAACCGUGUGAACGGAGAGUGGGCAGAAGGGAAGGAGGUCCUCAUACGGAGUCGCACACUUACUUGAGCAGUGCGGGAGACUGGGGAAUGGGUCGAGUAAAGUCCCCUGGGGCCGG